CGUUUAAACCAAAUUUAAUAUGGAUCCAGGCUCUCAGUGUCCCAGUGAAAUCUACCGUCAGUGGCAGAUAACUGGUUUUGGUGAGACAACUGCCAUUUCACAAUAGUUACUUGGUCGGAUACUUCAACCUUUAUCAGAAAAGGAGAGAGAAGAAAACGUAACUGGAAACGCAGCUCCUGACCGCGGAGUGGUGGCUGCCGCCCUUCCUCUGCCUCGCACCUUAUCCAGCAGCCUGGAGUGUUGGAUCUGUGUGCUGUGCUCCCAUCUCUGAGACACGUGGGGACAUCCUCUGGGACUUCCCAGGGCCUCUCAGCGGGGGCAGAAGCUCAGAAGAUGCAAAUAGAGGUGUGAGAGGAGCUGUUGACUCUGGGUGUUUACUUCUGGGGCCUUAUUUACUGCCUGGUUUUGAAAAGACUCCCAGUGCCACCCCUGCCCCCCAGGCCCAGAACAGUCCCCUCCUCGCACAGCUGUGCUCUCUUGUGCUGGAGGGGAGUGUGGGUCAUGGGCUGGAGAAGCCCAUCCGUGAGCCACCGCCCCAGAGCGGGGCAGAAUUGGCCACUGAGUGCCCGCAGAGGUCCGCCUGUGUUUGGAAUCCCCAAAGGCACUCUUCAGGGAGUCCUGCAGGGAGCUCCGGUUGCUCUCCACCAGGCUGACGCAGUCCUCAGCAGAACUUUGAAGGCUUGUCACUGGUAUCCAAGGUCUUGCUGCCCAGCGGCCAGGGCCAGGAAGGACCAGCUCCCCCAGCGCGCUCAAGGAGGAGGGACGUCUGGCCCCAGGUGGCCCCUGGGAAAUUCUCAGGCAGACAACCUGAGACGCCCUGUCCCUACACCUCCUCUGCAUCCUGCCUUCUGACCACUCCCUGCCCUGAUCUGCACCGGAAGGAUGCGUCUGGUCAAGGGCUGCAGUGAAUCACACGGACUAAUCAAAAGUGGGUCCCAAUGCAGGGAAGCAGGGUGGGCUGAGCUCAGGUGGUGUGGCUGAGUGAGAGGCGAGGGUGGGUCAGAUCGCCCACGGCGCUUCCCGGCACUGGGUCCUGGAAUCACACCGCCACAGACGCUGCUAUCCCAUUCUACAGACGAGGCCCUGGAGGCUUUGAGGUCUGGCCCAGCUCUCUUGCGAUCUCCUCACAGAUGUGGCUCACUGGAGCUCACUUUGUUACCUGGGGUCUAGCAGGUUUGUGGAGAGUGCCUCUCCGGCCGCUUAGAGCUCUUCUCUGAUGAAGUCUCAGGGGAUGGAAACUGAUCGGUCACCCCUCCACUCUGUACAAAAUCUCAGCAGCCCUCAGUCUCUUCUUCUCCAGUUUAGACAUCUAGACCACAGCUAAGAAUCUCAGAACAACUCAGAUGCUACCAAGAGCUCCUUGACAGCAGGAAAUAUAGACACCAUGGUCCUUACCCUCUGAAGUUCACAGUGACCUUAGCGGGACGAGGAAAACACACAGGGAGUCAACUUAGAAACCAAAGAGCUGCAGAUGAGCGCAUCUAUAUGAGCGAAUUUCCACGACCUGUCCACUAAAAUUUCCUGACAAAUAUAAACAGCAUGAUUAUGUUCAUGCAAAUGUCCCAAAGUGGGACAAAUGUGAAAAGCAUACUCACAACAGGAAACUCUCCCCCAGUGCCCAAACAGUUCUCUCAAGAGGUGGCAGGAGCCACCCGGGGGCCUGCAUCUGGCAGGUGGUGGAGGGGCUGAGAUUGGACCAGGCCGGGAGUCGACUCUUGAACUCCAUGCUACACUGAAGGAAGGGAGGAACCAGAGCUCUCUGCAGGCCCGGAAGCAGGCACUUCAAGCUUCUGCUCACAGGACUCCCUCUGCCUGGAAGCUCCCCUCCGCAUCUGCUGCCAACCUGAGAACAGUCUGCUGCCCUGGAGAGCUGAGUGGAGGGCUUCCUCUAGGGCGCUGUCCCCAGGAGGCCCUCUGACCCCCAGUGGGAACGCUGCCCCUCCCCCAGUCACAUAUGCAUUUGAAUACCUAUCUGUUUGGCUGCCUUCCGUCCUCAAGGGCAGGGGCCACUUCUUAAAUUCUGAAUCUCCGAUCCUUAGCACAGGGAGAGGCAGAAAGCCCCUGAGGCACACGAGUGGAUGUGACCCAACUAAGAGGGUAGAAAGCUCUGGUGUAGACCGAGCGCCAGAGUGAGAAUUCUCACUUAGGAGGUAGUCCAGGAAUCUGUAGAUGAGGCAGAAAAGCUUCCUCUUUCCUCUUAUGCUUAUAACUGGGGACUUCAAACUAAACUGACAAUAGACAGAUUAACAAGAAAAAAGGCACGCAAAUUUUAUUAAUAUGUCUAUGUGCAGAGGGUCUUCACAGAAAAGAAGUGCAAACCCCAAAGAAGUGGUUCAAUGUGGUGGCUUACAUACCAUUUUAACGGAGGGCAGUACUUUGUGAAGAAGGGACUCUUCAGAGACAGCAGGGCAGGAGGUGGGUUCCCUGUGGCAGGUUGGUAGGGAAUGAGAGGUGGAUAAGGGUGUUGUGCACAGUCCCUUCCAGGGACUGAGUUCCCCUCUUCCUGGGAUGUGGAGAGGGACACCUGAAACGGGGAGGCCUGUGUCCCUUCCACAUAGGGAGGUUCAUACCUCAUUUUAGGCAGAAAGCGGGAGUCAGAGGGUUAUCCCAGAGUCUGCUCUUUCUCAAUUGCCUUUAGUCAUAAAUAGUCCUCUUGCUAAAGUGGUGUAUUCUGCAGGGCACAUUCCGGUCCCUUCAAACUCAUACUAGAAAGGACACUAAAGCUGGGACAGCCAGUGAUUAGAUAAGGGCCGUAGGCUACAGAGAGUAAUCUUGUUGCUGUCAUCUUGGCACAGAGUAAGCACCACAGAGUCCUAGUUAUUUUUAUUUUAUUUUUGCAUAUGUUUUUAUUUUAAUAAAACGGUUCAGUCGUACCUAUUUUCAGGGGCACAGGGUGACAUCUCUACACCUGCACAGCGUGUAGGGAUGAGGGGGCAGCUGGCUUCUCUGAGUCUGUGCAGAGGGCGGUUGUGGCUGAGAAGUGAGGGGGGAGUCUGGAACCACAAAAGGACCUGGCUUUUCAGGGAACCGAGGCUGGCAGCUCCAGGGACUGAAGUCAGGGAGGAGAACAAAAGCGAGGGUGAACCAGGAUGAGCAAAGGCUGACGACCGGGGCUGAGUUCAACAGCAGGAUCUCGGCGUCAGGGCACAGGAGCCUGGUCACCCACACUCUGCACAGUGGGUGCCCACGGUGCCACAGAGGGCCUGAGGUGGGCAGGGCCUGGCUGGUGCUGCGAGGAACCGCCUGCCUAGCCCUGUGUUCGUCUGUUCAUCCCAAAGACGCCCCGUGGGUACCCGCUAGAUUUCAGGAGCCCUGGGCGGCAGGGCGCGUGGCGUGCAGGGCCGCUGUCUCCUGGCACGACGACGUGGUCACAGUGAUCCUUGACUUACUGAUCAAUUUAAAACAUCUCUGCUGGGCUCGCUGUUUUGAAAUCUUGAAAUGUCAUCUGUGAAUCACUCAGAGGAGGAAGCGCCCGGCUGGGAAAACCACCCGCAGGCGGACCCUGUUCCCACGGGAGGCAGCCCCCCAAGAUUGUGCCCCCGAGACCCGCCCACGCCCUCUGCAAGGCGCUGCCAAAAUGCCCACCUUUCAGGUACCCUGACUUCAGAGCAGGCAGAGGGGUCGGCGCCAGGCAGGCAGAUGUCUCAAACUGAAAGGAGAGCGAGGAGGAGAAGGAACCCAGGCUGCAGGAGUGGCCGGAACCAAGAAAGGACAACGAGGUGCAAGGUCCACAGGCCAGAAGCAGCCCCUUCUUUGGGUGAUGUCGCCAGAGGAUGCAGAGGAAAUGUGUCCGGCUGCAAGAUGCCACAGAGGGAGAGCUGGGGCCAAAGGCGCGUGGCCGUUCAGCGUGCUCCUGGUUCCAGGUGGCAGCCCUCUGGAGCUGUGGAAGUCCCUCCCCACCCAGCUCAGGGCACCACAGGUGCAGGAGCCACACUGAGGGCCACUUACCGCAGUGCUGGGAAGCCUGCAGGGCGAGCUGCCCACAGCCCUGGUUGGGCUUCUCCAGUAGGACUAAAGGCCUAUACCAACAGAGAAUGUUUAUGGAGGCUGCCUCAGGACUCUUUCUCUAAUGAACUGUAUCUGCUGCGAUAACAGGCUGAGGAGGGCCACCCAUCAUCCUCUGCGAGACCACAAGCAGCUGCAGGCAGUGGAGCAGGCUCACAAACAAGGGUGGAGAUCAGAGCAGGCGCUGGGGCCACCCCAGCAGGGAGCAAGAACAAGCUGAGCCCCUCAGCUCACAGCCACGAGCAGGAGGCAAACAACCUUCCAGAACCCAGGACACCAAAGACGACCCACACCAUCAUGAGGUGGAAGGUUUUGAAGUCACUGUCACUGUAGAUUUAUUUCAGAGACAUCCCCCACGGCCACAGUCCCUGAGGACUGCCAACCCAAAUCCUUGCCAUUCAGCAGUCGGGCCUCCCCUCUCGGGUUCUGCAUGGGAAGGGGCUCCCGGCUUUUCUGGACACUCUUAGGGUCAGGUUGCGGCACAGUAAGGUGGGGCCAGCUUUCGGGGGGGGGGGGCUCCGAGGUAAGCAAGCAAACCUGGAGACAGUGGGGCAGAGCGUCCUCCCUCUGCGCACUCGGCAGAUGCCAGCCACUCCUCCUCAGGGUUGUGGAGACGUGGCAGUGGUGGCAGGCUCACUAACCCCCGGAGUCGGAGUCGAGGACAACACCUGCAGACUGGAAGCUGGGGAGCAGGUGUUCUGAGGGUGCCGCUCCUUUCCCCCAGGGAGAGCCCCAGGGAGCAGCCUGGUCUCUGGAAGAGGCGGCCUGGAGCAACGGUGGGAUGCUGGGAUGCUGGGUGAAUUGUCCCAUGUGGUCUCCCGGGUUUUCACAAAGGGCUUGUGAGGGCGAGGAGGGGCAGCCCCGAGGGCAGGUGCCCUGCUACUCUGCACUCACCGCCUAACCCAGGGAGGACGAGCAGCUUCCUGGGGCACGUGGGUGUGGUGCUUGUCAUUAGUGUUAGUGCCCCUGGACCAGCAUGAACUGGGUGCUAAGUGCCAAGUGUUCCAGGAACAGCUCCUACUAGUUUCUUUUGUUGAACUGCAUCUGAUAAAAACUACUCAA